CGGACAGAGGUGGUCUUGAGAUUGGGAUGAAAAACUCCAAUCCUUGUCAAAGCUUAUCAGGUGAUUGAACAGGGAGACAAAGCUCAUGUGUCUGCUUUGUCAUCUUUGUUCUCAAUGGGAGCCCCACUCCUUGUAAACCCAUUUACGGCCGACACUUGUCACCCUACCAUAUACUGCCUCAUCAGAUCCUUCCUAUGUGCCUCUCUAUAAGGCAAAGCUAUAGCUAGCUCAAGUUCUUCCAUGACCAAUAUUGCAACCUUGAAAUUUUUCAUACCAACGUACAAGUAUUUCUCUCAUCAGAUCCUUCCUAUGUGCCUCUCUAUAAGGCAAAGCUAUAGCUAGCUCAAGUUCUUCCAUGACCAAUAUUGCAACCUUGAAAUUUUUCAUACCAACGUACAAGUAUCUCUCUCUCUCUCUCUCUGUGCCUAAAAUAGUCUCAACAGUUGCCGUCUAACAUGAAGGGAGAGUUGUCCUCCGUUCGAACGCCCAAGCUCCGGUCGUGGGAGAAAUGCUCGAGGUUGAUGAGGGAGCAGCGGACGCGAUUUUAUAUCAUGUGGAGGUGCACUGUCAUACUUCUCUGCUGGGAUGAGUGACGAGGAUGUGACUGUUUUUACUAGGAUGAAGGGGGUUGAAGUUGUGUUCUUGUGAUUUUGAAUUUCCUAUUGAAAUUGGAUCCAAAUAGUUUACAAGAAUGUAAAGCUUCGAGUGUCUGGGAUGAGUUUAAAUACUUAUACCAUGUAAUUAAAUGAAUGCUACAUGUAAAAUUCAAUGAUAGUACUACAUGUAAUGUACUAUAUUUACUGAGCUCAUUUAGACUCCACAUAUUUAAUAGAGGUGACAUUUUCUUUAUCUACAAAUAUCACCCUCCAGAGUAGGUUAAUUGUUGUGAAUUCCGCACUGAUGCAUUCUUUUGAACCAUACUUUAGCCUACCUUUUAAUUCGGUGAUCAAAUGUACGAUGUCGUCUAAUGUGGUAUUAGAGUUGCAUGAGAGAUUAAUCUAUCAUCAAUAUGUGUUGAUAUAUUAAAAAAAA
rnacentral:lncRNA from 1 species